UCUAUGAGGACCAAUUCCUUCCAAUCUCACGCAGCGCGGAGUUUCCAAGUUUUACCAGCAAUACAUUCUCGUCCUUUCUUUCGACGCUCCUAGUCGUUCAUCCUUUUUUUUUUCAUCUCGCAUCGUCGUUGUAAAAAAAGAUAUUUUAACUCACACCCUUUACUCUACCUUUUUUUUCUUUCUUUCUCCUUUUUCGACAACUGCGCCGGAAGGAACGUAGAAACGCAGAGAGGGGGAAAAUAGAGACGGAAAUUAUACGAAUGCGUAAGUGUGAGAGAGUGUCAAGACCGAGGGGUUUUAAGGGUGACAUGUCCCCGGGUUAGUGUUGGGCGCGCCAGUUCUGUGCCCGGGGCUGUGGGCUGACCAUGUCGAAGCGGGAUACUCUGUAGAAAACGGAGGUUGUUUUGGUGUGGUUUUGUGAUCCCGAUUAAAAGGUG